AGCAAUACAAGGCGGACGGCUCAGUAACACGUAGUCAACCUAACCUAUGGACGUGGAUAACCUCGGGAAACUGAGAAUAAACCGCGAUAGAUCAUUAUGCCUGGAAUGGCUUAUGGUCCAAACAAUUUAUUGCCGUAGGAUGGGACUGCGGCCUAUCAGCUUGUUGGUGAGGUAAUGGCCCACCAAGGCUAUAACAGGUACGGGCUCUGAGAGGAGAAGCCCGGAGAUGGGUACUGAGACACGGACCCAGGCCCUAUGGGGCGCAGCAGGCGAGAAACCUUAGCAAUGUGCGAAAGCACGACUAGGUUAAUCCGAGUGAUUUCUGUUGAAGAAAUCUUUUGUCAGUCGUAAAACCACAGACGAAUAAGGGGUGGGCAAGUCUGGUGUCAGCCGCCGCGGUAAUACCAGCACCUCGGGUGGUCAGGAGGUUUAUUGGGCCUAAAGCAUCCGUAGCCGGCUACGCAAGUCUCCGGUUAAAUCCAGCUGCUCAACAGAUGGGCUGCCGGAGAUACUACAUAGCUAGGGAGCGGGAGAGGCAGACGGUAUUCUGUGGGUAGGGGUAAAAUCCACUGAUCCAUAGAGGACCACCAGUGGCGAAGGCGGUCUGCCAGAACGCGUUCGACGGUGAGGGAUGAAAGCUGGGGGAGCAAACCGGAUUAGAUACCCGGGUAGUCCCAGCUGUAAACGAUGCAAACUCGGUGAUGCAUUGGCUUAUGGCCAAUGCAGUGCCGCAGGGAAGCCGUUAAGUUUGCCGCCUGGGAAGUACGGACGCAAGUCUGAAACUUAAAGGAAUUGGCGG
rnacentral:rRNA from 1 species